UGGCCAAUCAGAACUCAGGGCUGAGCUUCCGGUGAAGAGAAGCUCUAUUUCCGUUGGGAGCAGUUGCGAAGUGAGGUUGGCCUGCGCGGGUGGAAGCAGACGUGACGUCAGCUUGUGGCCUUUGCUGCUAAGUCACUUCAGUCAUGUCCGACUCUGUGUGACCCCAUAGACGGCAGCCCACCAGGCUCCCCCGUCCCUGGGAUUCUCCAGGCAAGAAUACUGGAGUGGGUUGCCAUUUCCUUCUCCAACGCAUGAAAGUGGAAAGUGAAAGUGAAGUCGCUCAGUCGUGUCCGACCCUUAGCGACCCCACGGACUGCAGCCUACCAGCCUCCUCCGCUCAUGGGAUUUUCCAGGCAAGAGUACUGGAGUAGGGUGUCAUUGCCUUCUCCUUGUGGCGUUUGGUAAAGGCCAAACUUUACCAAAAGUUUGUCACUUCUGUAAAGGCAGAGCCAUCUGUGUGAGGAGGACAUCAGCAAGCAGAGCUGAGAGUUCAGGAGAGAUGGUUCCGGCUGACGUCCUAAAACUCCCGAGUGCAGCCCUGGCGGACGCUUGUGGAUUUAGGUUCCACCAAUUCAUUUAUGGCUGGAGUCCUAGAUAGAGUGGGCUGUGUAUCCCAAGGACAUGCAUGGUAAGAGUUAACUUUAGGUUUUUUCUUAGGUCUGUUUUUGUUUGCCAGGCAGAAUUGGAGCUCCAAAAAAGUAUUUUAGAAGUUAACCUUACCUAUACAGUAUUGUAAAGGACUUAACCUCUAAUUAAAAUAAAUAAAUUUUAAAAAAAAGAAGUUAACCUUUUCCUAACUGCACGUGUAAAAAGAACUGGUUUUGCAAUUUCAAAAAAGAUUUUAUUUUAAUCAGUAUUCUCUGGAGUCUAAAGAAUAUCAUGGCCAUUCAGUGUCAAAAAUAUCAUUUCUCCUUUUUGUAGUUACAGUAUAUUAUUAAUGAUAUAUGCAUGAGGGAAUUGCUGUCACAUAGGAAGUAAAGCCUUGGCUAUAAAAUUUUGACAAAUAUUAGGAUUCUUAAGCAUAUCUUGAGGUAACAUAGUCUAUUGAAAUCUCUUAUGAGUCCCGAUAUGAUUAGGAUAAGGGAGACAGAAAGUGAAUCUUUCCCAGUCUAAAGGAUGUAGUUCAGUUCAGUCGCUCAGUCGUGUCUGACUCUUUGCAACCUUGCCACCCCAUGAAUCACAGCACGCCAGGCCUCCCUGUCCAUCACCAAUUCCCAGAGUUCACCCAAACUCACGUCCAUUGAGUCAGUGAUGCCGUCCAGCCAUCUCAUCCUCUGUCGUCCCCUUCUCCUUCUGCCCCAAUCCCUCCCAGCAUCAGAGUCUUUU
rnacentral:lncRNA from 1 species